UGGUGGCACCACUGAGCUACAUCCCUGUUUCUUAUGCUGGAGGCUGAACCCAGGGCCUUCACACUGAGUUACGUCCCCAGUGUUCAUAGUUUCUCCACCUUGCCGUCCUCCUGAUGUACCAGGUACCAGGGAUCAAACUCAGGACCCUUGCAUUGGGAAGCAGUACUGGCGACAGAGACCCACGGAGCGCAGCACUGAUGCCCAACACAAGGGGACCCAUGGGCGAAACGGCUAAAAGUUGGUUGCAGGGGAGCCACAGGCUCCUGGGAUUAGGGCUGUGCCAAACCAAUCGGUGGCCUGAGUGAGUCUCGCCACCUUUACUCCCAGCGCUGCACAAGUCCCACACUGUAGACACAGCCGCCUCUGAGAAAGCCCCACCUAUGACUGCACAGGCUUGGAGAGGCGUCUAGCCAGGAGCCGUCACAAGAGCCUCAGGCGUUUCAAUCCCGGGUUAGCCCUCAUCCUCCAGGUUCCUGCUAAGACCGCCACCCUCACAGAUCGGAGGGCCAGGGCUGAGCUGUGAGCUGUGUCCUCUGCCCUCCCACUGGGUCCUACUGGCCCGGGGUCACCCACACAGCCCUGGCUCAAAGCCCAGCCGGCCGCUGGCCAAGCCCCAGGUCCCAUCGUGGGAAGGGGAUACCCACCCCCGCAGCUGGGCGCUUUUCUCGGGUUGCACAAAGGCAUGUUACAGGCCAGGAGCAGCCCUCCCUGGCCUCUCCCUACUACAUUCCUCUCUGUGGCCAAGACAGGGGCCUCUCUCCCUCCAGGUCACAGCAGCUCUCUGCCCAGAGGAAGGAACCUCUCUCCACUGGCUCAGGUGGCAGCUUCCCAAGCCAAGUCUUUCCCUGGGGCAGCCGGCACAGGGAAGGGGAAAGGGGAAAUCCAAGGAAAAACAGAAAGCAGGGGCCAGAUCAUCUCUGAUCCUAUCUCUCCACGUGGGCCCCUUGCCAGACCUCGAUUGCUCACCCCACAGAGCUUCUCCUCCUCCUUGGUUUGCAUAAAGUCCCCAAGCUAUGCCAUCCCAUCCUCUCCAUGGCCCAGGGCACACAGCUAACCAGGGCUGGAGCCUUUUCCUGUGAUGCUCCCCACCGGGUGGCAGCGGACUCACUGCCUCCCUUCUGGUGGCCCCAGUGGACGGGUUCCUUCUCCUGCAGACCACGCCCACCACCUUCUGCCCUAGGCCAGCGGUGCCACAGGAAGUUAGGCUCCACUGGCCGCCACCCCCUCCCCACAGUGAUUGGCUAAAGAGUGGGCACCUGUCCCAAACUGAGCCAAUUAGAAUGCACCAACCUUUUGGACAUGCUGAUUGGGCCAAAGGUGAGCUCCUGGAAAGACAGACCAAUCGGGUCCCUUCCUGAGGAUGCUUGUGAUCCGCCUACCUGGCUCCAGAAGUCUCAGAGCCUGGGUGUCAAGAUGCCCAUGGUGGGAGAUAGAGAAAGCUCUGUGGGUAGAGAGGUGGGGAGGGAGAUAGAGGUCUUGGCUCUGGUUACCGUCCAACCCUUUUCAGAGCCCCUCCUUCCAUGCAGGCCACCCAGGGACCUUCAAGAAAAUCCCUUUAUGUGUUGCCAGCGUGAGUUAGAUUCCUGUCCCCGGCAGUUAUGCCCCACGUGGAGAACAUGGACUCGGUCAACAAGCCUGGCUGUCGGUGACUCAGGACAUGCGGCCUCCGGUGGGUUACUGAACAGCGCGUGGCGGCUCAGCAGAUGAAGCGUAACAGCUCCCAUCAAACAGGAGGCUCUUCCGCGGGAAGCACGCGGGGGCCUGUAGUUUCUAGCAAGUCCCCAUCGUGGUGGAUCUCAAGGUGCGAACUUGGUUGGAAAUAGGGACUUUGUAGGUGUUAUGAUUUCAAGAUGAGGUCAUCCUGGAUUUAGGGUGGGCUCUAAAUCCAGUGAUUGGUGCCAGUGAUGAGGGGAAGAGGCCACGUGACGAUGGGGACCCGGAUUGGGGACUUCAGUGCACCUGAACUGCGACACAGCUGGUCAUUUGAGGCGGCUCUGGGACCCUGGUACAAGCUGACACCCAUACCCGUUGGUGCUUGGGUUGAAUGGCUGGGAGGAUUUUAAGGCUUUGCUCUCUGUUUGCCCAAGCAAUUUCAUGUCUCGGCUUUAACCCUGAGCAGGUCCGGCAGCAGGGCAGAGUUGUCCUCGCCAGGGCACCCCGCAGUUCUGCUCAGGACUCGGGACUGCAGCGGAGAGCCACGUGCUUAUCGAUGGAUGUUUCUGGCCUGGGAGAGCUGGCGUUGUGGGGGACACGGAGCACCCACAGCUCUCCUCACCCCCAGCCCCUCGUCCACUCUGCUGUCCGGUACGGGCAUCCCAGGCAGACACCAAAGAGGAAACCCGAAGGCUAAGUCCGAAGGCACAGCCGGUGCCCAAGCUGGGGGAUACAGCAAGUCCCAGGAGUGGACAGAUCCUGGCUCGAGCCCCAGGGUCACCGUCCCCAGCUGUGUGAGCCUUGGUCUCUGUGCUUCAGUGGCCUUGGAGACCCCAAGCUUGGAUGGAUGUUAUCUAUAGCUAUUGCUUAACAAAGACAAAGCCUGCGUGGAACAAGCCUGUAAUACCAGCAUUUGGGAGGCUGAGGCGGGAGGAUCGCCACAAGUGUGAGGCCAGCCUGAACUACACGGGGCUGGCAGUCCCUACCCCACCCGGCAGUCUGAUCAGUAAGGGGAGCUGGCGCCACGCCCCAGGGGCCAAAGGCCUGGAGCUAGGACGAGGGGACCGAGACCACUGGUGCGGGCAGCAGGCCCUGGGGCCACCUGAACUCCUCCCAGGCUCAGCGAGCUCCUGCAGGCCUCCGAGGAGCCACGGUUCC